rnacentral:rRNA from 1 species
GACGAACGCUGGCGGCGUGCUUAACACAUGCAAGUCGAACGGAAAGGCCCUGCUUGCAGGGUACUCGAGUGGCGAACGGGUGAGUAACACGUGGGUGAUCUGCCCUGCACUUCGGGAUAAGCCUGGGAAACUGGGUCUAAUACCGGAUAGUAGCCAUUUUUAGUGUGAUGGUUGGAAAGUUUUUUCGGUGUAGGAUGAGCUCGCGGCCUAUCAGCUUGUUGGUGGGGUAAUGGCCUACCAAGGCGGCGACGGGUAGCCGGCCUGAGAGGGUGGACGGCCACAUUGGGACUGAGAGACGGCCCAGACGCCGACGGGAGGCAGCAGUGGGGAAGAUUGCACAAGGGGCGCAAGCCGGAUGCAGCGACGCCGCGUGGGGGAUGACGGCCUUCGGGUUGUAAACUCCUUUCGCUAGGGACGAAGCUUUUUGUGACGGUACCUAGAUAAGAAGCACCGGCUAACUACGUG